AAGCUGCAAGUCGGAGCGGGACAGAUGGGAGCUUGCUCCCUGAUGUUAGCGGCGGACGGGUGAGUAACACGUGGGUAACCUGCCUGUAAGACUGGGAUAACUCCGGGAAACCGGGGCUAAUACCGGAUGGUUGUUUGAACCGCAUGGUUCAAACAUAAAAGGUGGCUUCGGCUACCACUUACAGAUGGACCCGCGGCGCAUUAGCUAGUUGGUGAGGUAACGGCUCACCAAGGCAACGAUGCGUAGCCGACCUGAGAGGGUGAUCGGCCACACUGGGACUGAGACACGGCCCAAACUCCUACGGGAGGCAGCAGUAGGGAAUCUUCCGCAAUGGACGAAAGUCUGACGGAGCAACGCCGCGUGAGUGAUGAAGGUUUUCGGAUCGUAAAGCUCUGUUGUUAGGGAAGAACAAGUACCGUUCGAAUAGGGCGGUACCUUGACGGUACCUAACCAGAAAGCCACGGCUAACUACGUGCCAGCAGCCGCGGUAAUACGUAGGUGGCAAGCGUUGUCCGGAAUUAUUGGGCGUAAAGGGCUCGCAGGCGGUUUCUUAAGUCUGAUGUGAAAGCCCCCGGCUCAACCGGGGAGGGUCAUUGGAAACUGGGGAACUUGAGUGCAGAAGAGGAGAGUGGAAUUCCACGUGUAGCGGUGAAAUGCGUAGAGAUGUGGAGGAACACCAGUGGCGAAGGCGACUCUCUGGUCUGUAACUGACGCUGAGGAGCGAAAGCGUGGGGAGCGAACAGGAUUAGAUACCCUGGUAGUCCACGCCGUAAACGAUGAGUGCUAAGUGUUAGGGGGUUUCCGCCCCUUAGUGCUGCAGCUAACGCAUUAAGCACUCCGCCUGGGGAGUACGGUCGCAAGACUGAAACUCAAAGGAAUUGACGGGGGCCCGCACAAGCGGUGGAGCAUGUGGUUUAAUUCGAAGCAACGCGAAGAACCUUACCAGGUCUUGACAUCCUCUGACAAUCCUAGAGAUAGGACGUCCCCUUCGGGGGCAGAGUGACAGGUGGUGCAUGGUUGUCGUCAGCUCGUGUCGUGAGAUGUUGGGUUAAGUCCCGCAACGAGCGCAACCCUUGAUCUUAGUUGCCAGCAUUCAGUUGGGCACUCUAAGGUGACUGCCGGUGACAAACCGGAGGAAGGUGGGGAUGACGUCAAAUCAUCAUGCCCCUUAUGACCUGGGCUACACACGUGCUACAAUGGACAGAACAAAGGGCAGCGAAACCGCGAGGUUAAGCCAAUCCCACAAAUCUGUUCUCAGUUCGGAUCGCAGUCUGCAACUCGACUGCGUGAAGCUGGAAUCGCUAGUAAUCGCGGAUCAGCAUGCCGCGGUGAAUACGUUCCCGGGCCUUGUACACACCGCCCGUCACACCACGAGAGUUUGUAAUCAUCCGCG
rnacentral:rRNA from 1 species